rnacentral:rRNA from 1 species
UACGUAGGGUGCGAGCGUUAAUCGGAAUUACUGGGCGUAAAGCGUGCGCAGGCGGUUUUGUAAGCCGGAUGUGAAAGCCCCCGGGCUUAACCUGGGAAUGGCCGUUGAAACUGGCGAACUGGAGUGUGGCAGAGGGGGGGUGGAAUUCCGCGUGUAGGCAGUGGAAAUGCGUAGAGAUGCGGAGGAACACCGAUGGCGAAGGCAACCCCCUGGGCUAACACUGACGCCUCGAGGCACGAAAGCGUGGGGAGCAAACAGG